rnacentral:rRNA from 1 species
CCUACGGGUGGCAGCAGUGGGGAAUAUUGGUCAAUGGGCGCAAGCCUGACCCAGCAACGCCGCGUGAAGGAAGAAGGCUUUCGGGUUGUAAACUUCUUUUCUCAGGGACGAAGCAAGUGACGGUACCUGAGGAAUAAGCCACGGCUAACUACGUGCCAGCAGCCGCGGGAAUCCGGAGGUGGCAAGCGUUCUCCGGAUUUACUGGGUGUAAAGGGCGUGUAGGCGGGACUGCAAGUCAGAUGUGAAAACCACGGGCUCAACCUGUGGCCUGCAUUUGAAACUGGAGUUCUUGAGUACUGGAGAGGCAGACGGAAUGCGUAGUGUAGCGGUGAAAUGCGUAGAUAUUAGGAGGAACACCAGUGGCGAAGGCGGUCUGCUGGACAGCAACUGACGCUGAGGCGCGAAAGCGUGGGGAGCAAACAGGAUUAGAUACCCUGGUAGUC